CACAAAGAUGUCCACACGAUAUUCCCAGAAGCUGUGCAUAUGUUACCCUAUGUGGCAGAAGCGAUUUUGCAGAUGUGAUUAAAGUUAUGGACCUUGAUAUGUGGAGAUUAUCUGGGUAAUCCCAAUCUAAUGGGGUCUGUGGGGUUGGCUGUGAUAGCUGUGCUCCAGGCUGCAGGUCAAGUUCAGAUCUGUUCCUGUGGCUUUCCUUUUGGGGGCCAGGAACCUUCAGCCUUCAGGAAAGCCAUCAUAUAUGUGCACUGCCUUGAGAAGAAUCGUUUGCCUGAACUGAUAAAGAAGAAAAAGCCAAUAUUCUUUUGCUUCAUGGUGAGGCAGAGAGGAAGAGUGAGUAAAGUAUAUUUUUAAAUGAAGGAAAGAUGAGAUUAAAGGAAAUAGAUCAAUCCAUUGAGUUGUCUGAUCACUUCCA